UACGUAGGGGGCUAGCGUUGUCCGGAAUCAUUGGGCGUAAAGAGCGUGUAGGCGGUCCGGUAAGUCCGCUGUGAAAGUCGGGGGCUCAACCCUCGAAUGCCGGUGGAUACUGUCGGGCUAGAGUGCGGAAGAGGCGAGUGGAAUUCCGUGGUGUAGCGGUGAAAUGCGCAGAUAUCAGGAGGAACACCUAUUGCGAAGGCAGCUCGCUGGGACGUAACUGACGCUGGAGACGCGAAAGCGUGGGGAGCAAACAGG
rnacentral:rRNA from 1 species